GACGAACGCUGGCGGCGUGCUUAACACAUGCAAGUCGAGCGGUAAGGCUCCUUCGGGAGUACACGAGCGGCGAACGGGUGAGUAACACGUGAGCAAUCUGCCCAUCUCUUUGGAAUAAGCGUUGGAAACGACGUCUAAUGCCGAAUACGACCUCCUUUCGCAUGAUCGGAGGUGGAAAGCUCCGGCGGAGAUGGAUGAGCUCGCGGCCUAUCAGCUAGUUGGUGAGGUAACGGCCCACCAAGGCGACGACGGGUAGCCGGCCUGAGAGGGCGACCGGCCACACUGGGACUGAGACACGGCCCAGACUCCUACGGGAGGCAGCAGUGGGGAAUCUUGCGCAAUGGGCGAAAGCCUGACGCAGCGACGCCGCGUGAGGGAUGACGGCCU
rnacentral:rRNA from 1 species